rnacentral:rRNA from 1 species
ACAUGCAAGUCGUAACAUGGAUAGCCAGACUUGCUGGGUGGAUUAGUGGCGAACGGGUGAGUAACACGUGAGUAACCUGCCCUUGACUCUGGGAUAAGCGUUGGAAACGACGUCUAAUACCGGAUACGAGCUUCCACCGCAUGGUGAGUUGCUGGAAAGAAUUUUGGUCAAGGAUGGACUCGCGGCCUAUCAGCUUGUUGGUGAGGUAACGGCUCACCAAGGCGACGACGGGUAGCCGGCCUGAGAGGGUGACCGGCCACACUGGGACUGAGACACGGCCCAGACUCCUACGGGAGGCAGCAGUGGGGAAUAUUGCACAAUGGGCGAAAGCCUGAUGCAGCAACGCCGCGUGAGGGACGACGGCCUUCGGGUUGUAAACCUCUUUUAGCAGGGAAGAAGCGAAAGUGACGGUACCUGCAGAAAAAGCACCGGCUAACUACGUGCCAGCAGCCGCGGUAAUACGUAGGGUGCAAGCGUUGUCCGGAAUUAUUGGGCGUAAAGAGCUCGUAGGCGGUUUGUCGCGUCUGCUGUGAAAUCCCGAGGCUCAACCUCGGGUCUGCAGUGGGUACGGGCAGACUAGAGUGCGGUAGGGGAGAUUGGAAUUCCUGGUGUAGCGGUGGAAUGCGCAGAUAUCAGGAGGAACACCGAUGGCGAAGGCAGAUCUCUGGGCCGCUACUGACGCUGAGGAGCGAAAGGGUGGGGAGCAAACAGGCUUAGAUACCCUGGUAGUCCACCCCGUAAACGUUGGGCGCUAGAUGUGGGGACCAUUUCCACGGUUUCCGUGUCGUA